CAGGUUUGUAGGCCUCCUGACAGAGCUGGUGUAACUGAGUCAGGUUUGUAGGCCUCCUGACAGAGCUGGUGUAACUGAGGCAGGUUUGUAGGCCUCCUGACAGAGCUGGUGUAACUGAGUCAGGUUUGUAGGCCUCCUGACAGAGCUGGUGUAACUGAGGCAGGUUUGUAGGCCUCCUGACAGAGCUGGUGUAACUGAGUCAGGUUUGUAGGCCUCCUGACAGAGCUGGUGUAACUGAGUCAGGUUUGUAGGCCUCCUGACAGAGCUGGUGUAACUGAG